CGCCGUCAGACCCUCCCGGUAGUUUGAAUUUGGGGUCGUUGGCGCCAAGACGUGAGUAAACACUUAAACAGUGAACAAGUGACGGUGACGGACGGGGCGCUGCCGGGAACGAGGACAACAAAGAUAACAGGAACAGGAAAGGAGGAAUGGGACAGAAGGUUGACGAGGCAAAGAGGAAUAGGACAGGAGGGUGACAGGGCAAAGAGGAAUGGGACAGGAGGUUGAGGAGGGUGACAGGGCAAAGAUUAAUGGGACAGGAGGGUGACAGGGGAAGAGGAAUGGGACAGGAGGUUGAGGAGGGUGACAGGGCAAAGAGGAAUGGGACAGGAGGUUGAGGAGGGUGACAGGGCAAAGAGGAAUGGGACAGGAGGUUGAGGAGGGUGACAGGGCAAAGAGGAAUGGGACAGGAGGUUGAGGAGGGUGACAGGGCAAAGAGGAAUGGGACAGGAGGUUGAGGAGGGUGACAGGGCAAAGAGGAAUGGGACAGGAGGUUGAGGAGGGUGACAGGGCAAAGAGGAAUGGGACAGGAGGUUGAGGAGGGUGACAGGGCAAAGAGGAAUGGGACAGGAGGUUGAGGAGGGUGACAGGGCAAUGAGGAAUGGGACAGGAGGUUGAGGAGGGUGACAGGGCAAUGAGGAAUGGGACAAGAGGUUGAGGAGGGUGACAGGGCAAAGAGGAAUGGGACAGGAGGUUGAGGAGGGUGACAGGGCAAUGAGGAAUGGGACUGGAGGGUGACAGGGGAAGAGGAAUGGGACAGGAGGUUGAGGAGGGUGACAUGGCAAAGAGGAAUGGGACAGGAGGUUGAAGAGGGCGACAGGGGAAGAGGAAUGGGACAGGAGGUCGAGAAGAGGAGGACUGGGACAGGAGGGUGACAGGGGAUGAGGAAUGGGACAGGAGGUUGAGGAGGGUGACAGGGGAAGAUUAAUGGGACAGGAGGUUGAGGGUGACAGGGAAAGAGGAGGUUGAGGAGGGUGACAGGGGUUUAUAGUCAUUUCGCCCACAUGCCAAUUCGCCCACACGUCAAUUCGCCCACAUAUAGGAGUCAAUUCGCGCUGUGUGCCCUUCUCAAAGACCAGUGUAACUUCACUUUCUGGCUGCAGUUCAAUAUCUUGUAUGGCUGGGUCGUCAAGUGAAGUAUAGUUCAACUGCAGGGACGUGUGGAUCGUGUUCCAUUGUAGGGGUGGCUGGGUCGUCAAGUGAAGUCUCUAGUUCCAUUUGGAAGUCAGGUGGGUCAUCAAUUGAAGACUGGUUCAACUGCAGGGACGUGUGGUUCUUGUUCCAUUGUAGGGGUGGCUGGAUCGUCAACUGAAGACUCUAGUUCCACUGGAGGGGAGGUUGAUUCGUCAGUGAAGGUGCAAUAAUUACAAUUCGAAUCAAUGGAAAUAACGGAUUUCACAGCUGUCCAGUAAUUAGCACGAGAUACCCUAGUAUUACAUUUCCUGUGCUGCC